rnacentral:rRNA from 1 species
CCUACGGGUGGCAGCAGUGGGGGAUAUUGCACAAUGGGGGGAACCCUGAUGCAGCGACGCCGCGUGGGUGAAGGAGCGUUUCGGCGCGUAAAGCCCUAUCGGCAGGGAAGAAGAUGACGGUACCUGACCAAGAAGCCCCGGCUAACUACGUGCCAGCAGCCGCGGUAAUACGUAGGGAGCAAGCGUUAUCCGGAUUUACUGGGUGUAAAGGGCGCGUAGGCGGGAUGGCAAGUCAGAUGUGAAAUCCAGGGGCUCAACCCCUGAACUGCAUUUGAAACUGUCGUUCUUGAGUACUGGAGAGGUUGACGGAAUUCCUAGUGUAGCGGUGAAAUGCGUAGAUAUUAGGAGGAACACCAGUGGCGAAGGCGGUCAACUGGACAGCAACUGACGCUGAGGCGCGAAAGCGUGGGGAGCAAACAGGAUUAGAUACCCGGGUAGUC